rnacentral:rRNA from 1 species
UUGGAGGGCAAGUCUGGUGCCAGCAGCCGCGGUAAUUCCAGCUCCAAUAGCGUAUAUUAAAGUUGCUGCAGUUAAAAAGCUCGUAGUUGAAUUUCGGGACCGAUAUAUCGGUCGUGCCUCGGUACGUACUGGUAUUUUCGGUUUCUCCCUUCUGACGAACCUUGAUGUCAUUAAUUUGGUGUCUUGGGGAAUCAGGACUGUUACUUUGAAAAAAUUAGAGUGUUUAAAGCAGGCUCACGCUUGAAUACAUUAGCAUGGAAUAAUGAAAUAGGACGUUUGAUUCUAUUUUGUUGGUUUCUAGGAUCGACGUAAUGAUUAAUAGGGAUAGUUGGGGGCAUUAGUAUUCAAUUGUCAGAGGUGAAAUUCUUGGAUUUAUUGAAGACUAACUACUGCGAAAGCAUUUGCCAAGGAUGUUUUCAUUAAUCAAGAACGAAAGUUAGGGGAUCGAAGACGAUCAGAUACCGUCGUAGUCUUAACCAUAAACUAUGCCGACUAGGGAUCGGAUGAUGUUAAUUUUUUAAUGACUCAUUCGGCGCCUUACGGGAAAC